AUUUGGCUUAUUGUAGAAAAAUAUUUACCAAACAUGAUUUAUUAUAUUAAUAUGAUGAAGUCAUUAAUUAGUUUUCAGAUGUUAAUUAAACAUCCAUCCCUGAGAAAUAUCACAGUGUUUUAGUGUACAAUCUUUUUAACAAUUAAUUGAUAUUUUGCUGAUAUUAUAUUAAGAAUUUUUCUUGUCUUUAUUUUUAAUGUUUGUAUGUUUUUUUAGACAGGGCCUCACAUUCUCACAGAGGCUGGAGUGCAGUGGUGCCAUCAUAGCUAACUGCAGACAACAUCCUGGGCUUAAGCAAAUCUCCCACCUCAGCCUCUCAAGUAUUUGGGACCAUAGGCACACACCACCAUGCCUGAUUUUUUUUUUUUUAAAUGUUUUUGUAGAAUAAGAUCCUUCUAUGUUGGCUAGGCUGGUCUCAAACUCUCGGCCUCAAGCUAUCUUCUCACCUCUGUCUUAAAAGUGCUGCAAUUACUGGAGUGAAGUGCCACCCUGGUCCUUGUUAAGAAUUUUUGUGUAUUUUUUAUGAUGCAUACUUAUCUUUAGUUUCAUUUUCUGUUAUGUCUCUUGUCUAGAUUUGGUCUCAGAAUAAUACUGACCUCCUAGAAUAAGUUGGAAAGUAGUCUCCCCUCUUCAAAACUUUUGAAGACCAAUUGUGUAUUGUUUAUUCUUUAAAUAUUUUAUAAAAUUUACCCAUGAAACUACCUGAACCUGGGCUUAUUUGAAGGGGACUAUUUCUAAUUACAAGUUUAAUUUUGUUACUUAUUUUAUGGAUCUAACAGAUUUUGUGCUUUGUGUUGAGUCAUUUUGGUACUUGGUACCUUCAUAGGAAUGUGUCUAUUUUAUCUAGGUUGUCCAAUUUAUUGUCAUAAAGUUGUUAACUAUAUCCACCUGUAUCCUUUUCAGUUGUGUAGGGUUGGUAGUGAUGUCUCUAGUUUUAUUUCUCCUUUUGGUAAUUUGUGUUUUCACUCUUUUCUUCUUAGUCAGUCUAGCUAAGGUUGGUGAGUUUUGUUGACAUAUUCCAAGAACAAUUUUUUUGUUUCAUUAACUUUAUAUAUUGUAUUUUCUUAAUUUCAUGGAUAUCUGCUCUAAGCUCUAUUAUUUCCUCUCUUCACCUUGCUCUGGUUUUACAUUCUUUAAUUAUUCACCACAUAAUACAGUAUUGUAAUUAUUGCUUUAAUCAGUCAUAUAUUUUAAAGAAGUUAAGAGAAGAAAUAAACAAAUACAUAUGCAUUGCCUUUUUUUAAUCUACAUAUUUAACACUUCGGAGAUUUUUUUAUUUCUGUGGGUUCAAAUUACUAUCUGAUAUCAAUUCUUUUUAGUCUCAUGGAUUUUAGUAUUCAAAGGAAGUUCUGCUGUGAACAAACUAUCUUAGCCUUUGUUUAUUCCUAAGUAUCCUUACCUUGCCUUCAUUUUUAAAGAAGAGUUUUGCUAGAGAGAGAAUUCCUUGUUUUCAAAGUGGGUUUGUUUUGCUUUUAGAACUUUGAAGAUGUCAUUUCACUGUUUUGUGUGCUCCAUUGUUUCAGAUGGUAAUCCAAUGUAUCAGUAAUGGGCUGUUUUAUUCUUGGUGCUUUCAAGACCUGAUGUUUUGUUUUGAACAGGUUGAUACAUUUAGUAUCCUUCAUGACUGCACACAGAGUUGAGUAAGAGUAUAUGGAGAGCUUGGGCCCUGUAUAGUUUCCACCUUGCAUGUCUCAAACAAGCAUGUCCAUGCCUCAACAACGACCACAACCUCAAGCAAGUAGAACCACUAUUCCUCCCCGCUUCCAAACCACGAAGAUUGUCUAUUUCAUCAACAAUGCCAUUUCCUAGGAUAAUUCUUCAUCACUCCAAAUAGAACUGUGAGGAGUAGCCACAGGCAUGAACACUACAAAUUCACACUGUCACUACCCAAAGUGAAGCAGUUCUAAAGCAGAAGAGCUUCUCAAAAAUCGCCUUUGGUCAAUUAAAAGAGCAUAAAAAUAGA